AAAGGCUCUGAAUCAGGGACUCGAUUAUUCCCCUUGAUGGAAUCGAUUCCUUUGGAUUCGACUCUGAUUCCCUACGCCUCCACAUUCCCACAUUCCCAGCACUAGACUGCAGCGAGAACACUACGCAGAUAGCAAGAGAGAAAGCGUUGCUCGCUGGAUUUGAUCCAUUUUAUGUCCUAAAAAACAUUUGUACAGGUCACACUGAACAGCAGAUUGUUGUCUCAAGCCAGUGCUGAUUAAUGACAGUUUAGCUGCAGUAUGUCAGAGAAGAGAGGAAAGAUGAGUCUCUCACAGAAACAGAGUGUAAGAUCAGAC